rnacentral:rRNA from 1 species
AUUGAACGCUGGCGGGAUGCCUUACACAUGCAAGUCGAACGGAGUGGCAAACGGGUGAGUAAUAUAACGGAACGUGCCCAGUAGCGGGGGAUAACUACGCGAAAGCGUAACUAAUACCACUUACUUUUACAACGGCCUAUAUCGAAUUAGCUAGUUGGUGGGGUAACGGCGCACCAAGGCGACGAUCCGUAGCUGGUUUUGGAGGACGACCAGCCACACGGGGACUGAGAAACGGCCCAGACGCCGACGGGAGGCAGCAGUGGGGAAUUUUGGACAAUGGGGGAAAGCCUGAUCCAGCCAUCCCGCGUGUGUGAAGAAGGCAGUCGGGUUGUAAAGCACUUUUGGCAGGGAAGCGUUACCUGCAGAAUAAGCACCGGCUAACUACGUGCCAGCAGCCGCGGUAAUAC